rnacentral:rRNA from 1 species
CUCCUAAAUGCGCUGGGCUGCACGCGCAAUACACUGACUCCGACAGCGAGCUUCUUGUCCGCAACCUGGUCCGAAGGUACCGGGGAAACUUUGAGCCGGAGUCGUGCUGGGGAUUGAUGCUUGAAAUUAUUCUCCAUGAACGAGGAAUGUCUUGUAGGCGCGUUUCAUCAGAACGCACCGAAUACGUCCCUGGUUCUUGUACACACCGCCCGUCGUUGCCUGUAAUGGGUUGUGAGUAGAGCCCUUUGGAGGUCGUGCGUCGCUUCACGGUGCCGUGUGACCAAAACUGGGCAAUACUUGCUACCUAGAAGAGGCAAAAGUCGUAACA